UUUUAUUUGAGAGUUUGAUCCUGGCUCAGGAUGAACGCUGGCGGCGUGCCUAACACAUGCAAGUUGAGCGAUUUACUUCGGUAAAGAGCGGCGGACGGGUGAGUAACGCGUGGGUAACCUACCCUGUACACACGGAUAACAUACCGAAAGGUAUGCUAAUACGGGAUAAUAUAUUUGAGAGGCAUCUCUUAAAUAUCAAAGGUGAGCCAGUACAGGAUGGACCCGCGUCUGAUUAGCUAGUUGGUAAGGUAACGGCUUACCAAGGCGACGAUCAGUAGCCGACCUGAGAGGGUGAUCGGCCACAUUGGAACUGAGACACGGUCCAAACUCCUACGGGAGGCAGCAGUGGGGAAUAUUGCACAAUGGGCGAAAGCCUGAUGCAGCAACGCCGCGUGAGUGAUGAAGGCCUUCGGGUCGUAAAACUCUGUC
rnacentral:rRNA from 1 species